rnacentral:rRNA from 1 species
CGCGUGAGGAACCUGCCUUUCAGAGGGGGACAACAGUUGGAAACGACUGCUAAUACCGCAUAACACAUAGGUGUCGCAUGGCAUUUAUGUCAAAGAUUUAUCGCUGAAAGAUGGCCUCGCGUCUGAUUAGCUAGUUGGUGAGGUAACGGCUCACCAAGGCGACGAUCAGUAGCCGGACUGAGAGGUUGGCCGGCCACAUUGGGACUGAGAUACGGCCCAGACUCCUACGGAAGGCAGCAG